GGAGAGUUGUCCGAGCUGGCCGAAGGAGCAGCAUUGGAAAUGCUGUAUACGGGUUAAAGCCUGUAUCAAGGGUUCGAAUCCCUURCUCUCCG
rnacentral:tRNA from 1 species